rnacentral:rRNA from 1 species
UACGUGGGGGGCAAGCGUUGUUCGGAAUUAUUGGGCGUAAAGGGUGCGUAGGCGGCGCGGUAAGUCGGGUGUGAAAUCCCGGAGCUUAACUCCGAAACUGCAUUCGAUACUGCCGUGCUUGAGGACUGGAGAGGAGACUGGAAUUUACGGUGUAGCGGUGAAAUGCGUAGAUAUCGUAAGGAAGACCAGUGGCGAAGGCGGGUCUCUGGACAGUUCCUGACGCUGAGGCACGAAGGUCAGGGGAGCAAACGGG